UGGGGAAUCUUGGACAAUGGGCGCAAGCCUGAUCCAGCCAUGCCGCGUGGAUGAUGAAGGCCCUAGGGUUGUAAAAUCCUUUCGUUGGGGACGAUAAUGACGGUACCCAAAGAAGAAGCUCCGGCUAACUUCGUGCCAGCAGCCGCGGUAAUACGAAGGGGGCUAGCGUUGUUCGGAUUUACUGGGCGUAAAGCGCGUGUAGGCGGGUCGUUAAGUUGGGGGUGAAAUCCCGAGGCUCAACCUCGGAACUGCCUUCAAAACUGGCGACCUGGACUCAAGUAGAGGCAAGUGGAAUUGCGAGUGUAGAGGUGAAAUUCGUAGAUAUUCGCAGGAACACCAGUGGCGAAGGCGACUUGCUGGACUUGUAGUGACGCUGAGACGCGAAAGCGUGGGGAGCAAACAGGAUUAGAUACCCACGUAGUCCCUGAGCGGGCUGGCAAGGCGCAU
rnacentral:rRNA from 1 species